rnacentral:misc_RNA from 1 species
UCCGGUUUACCACCGGCAGUCUCCCUAGAGUGCUCAACUUUAAAUGGUAGCAACUAAGGACGAGGGUUGCGCUCGUUGCGGGACUUAACCCAACAUCUCACGACACGAGCUGACGACAGCCAUGCAGCACCUGUGCACGAUCUCCGAAGAGGGGCUCUCGUUUCUGAGAGCUUUCCCCAAGAUGUCAAGCCCAGGUAAGGUUCUUCGCGUUGCGUCGAAUUAAACCACAUGCUCCACCGCUUGUGCGGGCCCCCGUCAAUUCCUUUGAGUUUCAACCUUGCGGUCGUACUCCCCAGGCGGGGUACUUCCUGCGUUAGCGCCGGCACCCAGAGGGUCGCUCCCCCAGGCACCUAGUACCCAUCGUUUACGGCGUGGACUAC